GACGAACGCUGGCGGCGUGCUUAACACAUGCAAGUCGAACGGUAAGGCCCUUCGGGGUACACGAGUGGCGAACGGGUGAGUAACACGUGGGUGAUCUACCCUGCACUUCGGGCUACGCCUGGGAAACUGGGUCUAAUACAGGGUAGGACCAUGCGCUUCACGGUGGGUGGUGGGAAGCUUUUGCGGUGUGGGAUGGGCCCGCGGCCUAUCAGCUAGUUGGGGGGGUAACGGCCUACCAAGGCAUCGACGGGUAGCUGGUCUGAGAGGAUGAUCAGCCAAACUGGGACUGAGACACGGCCCAGACUCCUACGGGAGGCAGCAGUGGGGAAUCUUGUGCAAUGGGCGAAAGCCUGACACAGCAACGCCGCGUGCGGGAAGAAGGCCUUCGGGUCGUAAACCGCUUUCAGCAGGAACGAAAAUGACGGUACCUGCAGAAGAAGGUGCGGCCAACUACGUGCCAGCCGCCGCCGUAA
rnacentral:rRNA from 1 species